rnacentral:lncRNA from 1 species
UCUAAUGUUCCAAGAUUUUUUAAAUAUAGCCCUACAGUUAGAUUCUGAUAGUUCACUAUUACAACAGUCAAUAUCUCUAUAAAAUUACUAUUUUACACAUUCAAAUCUUUUAUAGUGUCACUCACUUUUUUUAUUUACCCUUAAAAUAUUAAAAUUUUUUAAAUUUAUCCUCCAACGGUCGUGUUCCAACGAUCAUCUUUCUUUUUAAGCUUAUAAAAAUUACAAUCAUAGCUAAAAAAAAAUUAUCAUAGCUAAAUCAAUAAUUCAACACAGCUACAUGUAAAUAAUCACAGCAUCACAACUUCACAAUUUCAUAAUUAAUUACAUGUAAAUCACUAAUAGAAUUUAACGCUAGAGUCAUAUUUGAAAUAACUUAGAAUGUUACAAGGGCACUUUUCAUAUUAAUCUUCUAAAAAAGGUAAAUAAGAAAGUCCGAACAUUUUAAGUGUAUAUAAAUAAUUGUCCCUUAAAAAGGAUAAUUAUAUUAGGAAAAAAUAUGCUAGUAGAAAAUAUGUUAGUAGAAAAUAUGUUAGUAGAUUUGGGAUAAAAAAGGUAUUUUGACUCCUUUUUAACUCUGGUAGAAAUUUAAUCCAGAUUUAAAUUCAGAUAACUUAACUGGUACUAACAGCAUGAUUAUUUUUUAAUAAGGAAAAAAUAUGCAAAGGGUAUAUUCGAAACAAAAAAAAAUACAUAUAAAAGUUUUGACGGGUUUAAAGAUAAUUAUCCCUUUCUAUUAUGUAUGGCUAUAGAUUGAUAUACUAAAUGCAUCUCAGAUCUCUUCCAUUUUUAUCUCUAAAUAGCAGUUCAAUUUUUUUUAACACAAAUAAUAUUAAUUUUCUCAAAUAAACUUUUUGCAUGCCAU